UACGUAUGGGGCAAGCGUUGUCCGGAAGCAUUGGGCGUAAAGAGCGUGUAGGCGGCCAGAGAAGUCCGCUGUGAAAACUCGAGGCUCAACUUCGAGCUGUCGGUGGAAACUUUCUGGCUAGAGUCCGGAAGAGGAGAAUGGAAUUCCUGGUGUAGCGGUGAAAUGCGCAGAUAUCAGGAAGAACACCCGUGGCGAAGGCGGUUCUCUGGGACGGUACUGACGCUGAGACGCGAAAGCGUGGGGAGCGAACAGG
rnacentral:rRNA from 1 species